GGCUGCUCCGGUCCCACCCUCACCCCCACCCGCCUAGGAACUUGGAUCUGUCAGAUCUGUGAAGAUACAGAGUCCAUCUAGCUCCCAGGGUUAUAGAUCCAAAACGGGAAGGAAAUAUAAAUCAGCUAACCCCGUUCUCCCAUUUUACAGGUGAGGAAACAGGCUCGGGGUGAGAGGAAGUGACUUGCCUAAGGUCACACAGGUAAGUAGCAAAGUGGGGGUUGAAGGCUCCUGGGGGGCUCUCGAAGGCCCUCAUAGUUCAGCUGGACUCUCUGGGUCUGGCCUUUUCCAAAAAGGGCAAGAGGGCAGCCCAGUCCAGGGUGGAAAGUGAUCCCCAGAGGCCCAGAAGUGCCCAGGUACUUGGGGAGAGCCUGCCCCUUUCCCUUGGCCCGCUGGGCCCUGAGGGAGCAAGCUCUCCCUUUUGUUCCCCAAAGUCCAGGCCCACUAGCCUUGGUCUGGCUUCCUUCUGAGCCCCAGUCAGGGGCAUUGGACAGAAAGCUGAGCUUGGACUCAAGAAAACCUGAGCUUCGGAUGCUUACGGUGUGACAUUUUGCCUGCCUGACUCAGUUUCCUUAACUGUAACAUAAGAAUAAGAGCAGCAACCUCAGAGGACUGCUGUUGUGAAGAUCAGGUAAGAUAGUGCUAAAAGCCCCUAGCACACAGUAAGCACUUAAUAAAUGCUUAUUCCUUCCCUCUGCAGCAGCCAGACAGGACGAGGCGAGAUCUGAGCAGCGGAUAUUGGGGGGAGGAUGGGAGUCGAUCAGAUGUGUCUCAGGGCGUGACUUUGCAGCUACGUGAGGAAGAAUUAGCGUGACCGUUCCCCCACCCAAGGGUGUCGGGCCACCGGGCGGAGCCUCCUUCCUGAAGCGGGCAGGACGCUGGCAGUUGCUCUCUGCUGAGGGGGAGAGCCCGGCUCCCAGUCUGGCUGUGUGAGCCUGGAUGGAGACCUCGCUGAAAGUCAGUGAAGCAUCGGGCACCGGUGAGUGCCCACUUAGCCCCAGGCACAGGAGCAACACAGGGAGACAAGGGGAAAAGCCCGUGCCCUGCCCUCCCCAGGCUUUCUCUCUAGUGAGAGCGAGAUGGCCACGUGAAGGACUGCUCGGUCCGAGACACAUGCACAAAGUAGGCGUGCAGGUGCACUCGGAGUAGAGGAAGAGAUGGAGGCGUUAGUCAUGGUGGGGGCUGGGAAAGGACUCCUGCAGAGCUGGAGCUGCUUAAAGGAAGCCGGGGAGACUGAGAGCCGGCGGGGAGGGGACCGAGCGUUCCGGACACACUCAGUGUGAAGCUGUGGACGUGGGAGAUCCCGGGGCCGUCAUGGCAGCGCCGGGAGUUGGGCAGAUUGGAGAGGAAGGAAGGAGCCUGGAAUUUCAGGCAGAGGACUUUGCGGGCCAUUCUGAAGGCCAGCUCCAGCAGCCCGCCCACCUCGGGGCAUGAGGGAGCACCCAGGAGUCCUCUCCAGGUUUCCCGGCAGAGCCCGCUGACUUGGUGCUUGGCAGAUUGGAAGGUCUGCGAGAGCAGGGACAGCCUUUUUGCUUUUCUUUGUAUCCUCAGCAUUUAGUACAACGCCCGGCACAAAGUAGCCGCUUUAGCGUUUGGUUGGUUGUUGUCCUUCUCAACGACGUCACCAAAAUGACAUCCUUGUGUUGGAGUCAAAGUGCAGCAUGUCCAGCUGUGCCUGAUCAGACCAAUAUGGGCUCUGCAGCAGGUCGGGCUGCGGGAACAUUGGGGGGUGAGAUGUCUCCAGAUCUGUGCACCUCGAAUUGUGAACAGAUUCAGCCAUUCUGGAGAGCAAUUUGGAACUAUGUUCAAAAGGUUAUCGAACUGU